UACGAAGGGGGCUAGCGUUGCUCGGAAUUACUGGGCGUAAAGGGCGCGUAGGCGGAUACUUAAGUUAGAGGUGAAAGCCCAGGGCUCAACCCUGGAAUAGCCUUUAAUACUGGGUAUCUUGAGUUCGGGAGAGGUGAGUGGAACUCCGAGUGUAGAGGUGAAAUUCGUAGAUAUUCGCAAGAACACCAGUGGCGAAGGCGGCUCACUGGCCCGGUACUGACGCUGAGGCGCGAAAGCCAGGGGAGCAAACGGG
rnacentral:rRNA from 1 species